UGAGGAAUAUUGGUCAAUGGACGAGAGUCUGAACCAGCCAAGUAGCGUGAAGGAUGACUGCCCUAUGGGUUGUAAACUUCUUUUAUAUGGGAAUAAAGUGAGCCACGUGUGGCUUUUUGUAUGUACCAUACGAAUAAGGAUCGGCUAGCUCCGUGCCAGCAGCCGCGGUAGUACGGAGGAUCCGAGCGUUAUCCGGAUUUAUUGGGUUUAAAGGGAGCGUAGGCGGGUUGUUAAGUCAGUUGUGAAAGUUUGCGGCUCAACCGUAAAAUUGCAGUUGAUACUGGCAUCCUUGAGUACAGUAGAUGUAGGCGGAAUUCGUGGUGUAGCGGUGAAAUGCUUAGAUAUCACGAAGAACUCCGAUUGCGAAGACAGCCUGCUGGACUGUAACUGACGCUGAUGCUCGAAAGUGUGGGUAUCAAACAGG
rnacentral:rRNA from 1 species